rnacentral:tRNA from 1 species
GGGCCCAUAGCUUAGCUGGCAGAGCGUCUCCAUGGCAUGGAGAAGGUCGGGAGUUCGAAUCUCCCUGGGUCCACCA